rnacentral:rRNA from 1 species
CUACGUGCCAGCAGCCGCGGUAAUACGUAGGGUGCGAGCGUUAAUCGGAAUUACUGGGCGUAAAGCGGGCGCAGACGGUUACUUAAGCAGGAUGUGAAAUCCCCGGGCUCAACCUGGGAAUUGCGUUCUGAACUGGGUGGCUAGAGUGUGUCAGAGGGGGGUAGAAUUCCACGUGUAGCAGUGAAAUGCGUAGAGAUGUGGAGGAAUACCGAUGGCGAAGGCAGCCCCCUGGGAUGGCACUGACGUUCAUGCCCGAAAGCGUGGGUAGCAAACAGGAUUAGAUACCCUGGUAGUCCACGCCCUAAACGAUGUCGAUUAGCUGUUGGGCAACUUGAUUGCUUGGUAGCGAAGCUAACGCGUGAAAUCGACCGCCUGGGGAGUACGGUCGCAAGAUUAAAACUCAAAGGAAUUGACGGGGACCCGCACAAGCGGUGGAUGAUGUGGAUUAAUUCGAAGCAACGCGAAGAACCUUACCAAGUCUUGAGAUCCC